rnacentral:rRNA from 1 species
UGGGGAAUAUUGGCACAAUGGGCGCAAGGCCUGAUGCAGCCAUGCCGCGUGUGUGAAGAAGGCCUUCGGGUUGUAAAGCACUUUCAGCGAGGAGGAAGGUGGUGAACUUAAUACGUUCAUCAAUUGACGUUACUCGCAGAAGAAGCACCGGCUAACUCCGUGCCAGCAGCCGCGGUAAUACGGAGGGUGCAAGCGUUAAUCGGAAUUACUGGGCGUAAAGCGCACGCAGGCGGUUUGUUAAGUCAGAUGUGAAAUCCCCGGGCUCAACCUGGGAACUGCAUUUGAAACUGGCAAGCUAGAGUCUCGUAGAGGGGGGCUAGAAUUCCAGGUGUAGCGGUGAAAUGCGUAGAGAUCUGGAGGAAUACCGGUGGCGAAGGCGGCCCCCCUGGANGAAGACUGACGCUCAGGUGCGAAAGCGUGGGGAGCAAACAGAUUAGAUACCCUGGUAGUCACGCUGUAAACGAU